GGGGCUAAUAUGUCAAUCAUCUGUUGAUGCCAGUGUCCAGCUGUUAAUCACUGACCACAAGAUAAAUACCAGUGGUAAAUAGUGUGAUCUUAUCUCAUUGUAUCGUGUAUUGCAACAAAAGUAAUUUAUAUAACUUUGAAGUAAACCGAGAAAAGGGAAAGUUAUUAAAAAGGAGAAAAUCUAAAGGGAAGAAAUCUUACCAAAAUGAACAAAACUAUAUAUAUACCGUAUAUUUAAGGAUAAGAGUGUGAAAGUAUCUUGAAAGCCUCUGAUAAACUUUAAACUUUUAAGGUUCUUACUACAAACAAGAAGUAUAUGUCUCUGAAUCUGUCUUUUGUUAGGAGUUUCAGGCACUUAAACCAAUUUUAAGUUUAUGUGAAAUUUUUAAAUUCCAUAAAACUCAAGAAUCAAGAAUCUAUUAUCAGCAAGGGGACGGUCUUGAUCUUUUAUGGAACAUGUCUUUUAUUGCAUAAUUUUAAUGUUCUAAUUUCAUAGUAUAUUUCUUUUUAAAAUACAAAUGAAAUCAUUCUUUAUAGUGAAUAUAAUUAUGUUAAAAAUUGUUCAUAUGCAGCUGGUCAUUCCUGUUAUUCUCUUAUCUUAGACUGUCUGGAGAGAGGCGGAGCUUUGUCUAUAUUUAAUUACUACAUCACAGAUGUUAGUCAAAUCUGUGACGUCAAACUCCCGCCAAAUGCUAAGUUAGUGUUGGUCAGUGCACAUAUAAUUCAAAAUUUACAGUAUUAGAGCAUCAAAGACACAAAGUGUGUGGAUAUAUUGAUAAAAUAAUGGUGUCAGAACACUCCUGGUGUGUUCUCAGUGGAACUUUUGUACUAAUGAUACAUUUAUAGGGGUUAUAAGGGGGAAAUUCAGUUUUUAGGUCAUUUCUCUGAACAAUUUUUUCAUGAGAAUUGUUAGCAAAAAAUGAAAACAGAAACUUCAUUGGUACCCCUUUAGGUUUGACUUUGAUAUAUGUGAUUAAAGGGAGUAUUUUCUACAAUACCGUGUCCCAGUUUUUGGAUAAUUUGUUUCUAAAUGAAUUUAUAGUUGUCCAAAGAUGAAAGGUGAAAUGAGGUUUGGUACCCAGCAGUUACAUCAAUAUAUCUUCUUACUGGAGGCAUACAUCAAAAAUCUGAGACACGGUUAUGUUUAUAGUGUAUGGUUGAUUAAAGGGAUGAAAACAAAUUUUUACUACCAUUUGACCUGAAUGUGUCAUUUUCAUCCAAGUUGGAUGACCACUUUUUUUGGCAAUUAAGGAGCUAUACUUUGAGAUUAAUCAUACCAAAAAUUAAUUUAUCUACAGAUUAAGAAGAAUUAAUAUUUCACCUUUAUAAUGAGCUAAAGAUUUUAAAAAUCCAUUGAGUAGUUUUGGAGAAAUUAAUCGUUAAAGACUGUUGGUUGGAGUCAGAAAAUUCUGACUGUAGUGCUACCUUAA
rnacentral:lncRNA from 1 species